rnacentral:rRNA from 1 species
GAUUUCUGGUACGGCGCACUUGGCCCGCUUCGGUUACGGAGUUGAGUGCCGGUGUGCGCCUGCCAUCCUUCCGGGGUACGACUCUCCCUUCACUGGGUUGGGCCGGAGUCCGGAUCAUUUACUUUGAAAAAAUUAGAGUGUUUAAAGCAGGCUUACGCUAUGAAUACAUUAGCAUGGAAUAAUAAUAUAGGACUUUGGUUCUAUUUUGUUGGUUUCUAGGACUGAAGUAAUGAUUGAUAGGGAUAGUUGGGGGUGCUAGUAUUCAGUGGCCAGAGGUGAAAUUCUUGGAUUCACUGAAGACUAACUACUGCGAAAGCAUU